AGAGUUUGAUCCUGGCUCAGGACGAACGCUGGCGGCGUGCCUAAUACAUGCAAGUCGAGCGCAGGAAGCAAGUUGAUCCCCUUCGGGGGUGAUGCUUGUGGAAUGAGCGGCGGACGGGUGAGUAACACGUGGGCAACCUGCCUGUAAGACCGGAAUAACCCCGGGAAACCGGGGCUAAUGCCGGGUAACACCUUCCCUCGCAUGAGGGAGGGUUAAAAGAUGGCUUCUCGCUAUCACUUACAGAUGGGCCCGCGGCGCAUUAGCUAGUUGGUGAGGUAACGGCUCACCAAGGCAACGAUGCGUAGCCGACCUGAGAGGGUGAUCGGCCACACUGGGACUGAGACACGGCCCAGACUCCUACGGGAGGCAGCAGUAGGGAAUCUUCCGCAAUGGACGAAAGUCUGACGGAGCAACGCCGCGUGAACGAUGAAGGUCUUCGGAUCGUAAAGUUCUGUUGUUAGGGAAGAACAAGUGCCGUGCGAAUAGAGCGGCACCUUGACGGUACCUAACGAGGAAGCCCCGGCUAACUACGUGCCAGCAGCCGCGGUAAUACGUAGGGGGCAAGCGUUGUCCGGAAUUAUUGGGCGUAAAGCGCGCGCAGGCGGUUCCUUAAGUCUGAUGUGAAAGCCCACGGCUCAACCGUGGAGGGUCAUUGGAAACUGGGGAACUUGAGGACAGAAGAGGAGAGUGGAAUUCCACGUGUAGCGGUGAAAUGCGUAGAUAUGUGGAGGAACACCAGUGGCGAAGGCGACUCUCUGGUCUGUUCUGACGCUGAGGUGCGAAAGCGUGGGUAGCAAACAGGAUUAGAUACCCUGGUAGUCCACGCCGUAAACGAUGAGUGCUAGGUGUUAGGGGCUUCCACCCCUUAGUGCUGAAGUUAACGCAUUAAGCACUCCGCCUGGGGAGUACGGCCGCAAGGCUGAAACUCGAAGGAAUUUGACGGGGGCCCGCACAAGCGGUGGAGCAUGGUGGUUUAAUUCGAAGCAACGCGAAGAACCUUACCAGGUC
rnacentral:rRNA from 1 species